CACGUAGGGGGCGAGCGUUGUCCGGAUUUAUUGGGCGUAAAGAGCUCGUAGGCGGCUCGGUAAGUCGGGUGUGAAAUUUCGAGGCUUAACCUCGAAACGCCACCCGAUACUGCUGUGGCUAGAGUCCGGUAGGGGAGCGUGGAAUUCCUGGUGUAGCGGUGAAAUGCGCAGAUAUCAAGCAGAACACCUGCGGCGAAGGCGGCCUUCUGGACGAUGACUGACGCUGAGACGCGAAAGCGUGGGGAGCAAACAGG
rnacentral:rRNA from 1 species